rnacentral:rRNA from 1 species
AUUGAACGCUGGCGGCAGGCCUAACACAUGCAAGUCGAACGAGUGGCGGACGGGUGAGUACUGUCUGGGAAAAUGCCUGAUGGAGGGGGAUAACUACUGGCAAAGGUAGAUAAUAACGCAUACCAUCGGAUGUGCCCAGAGGGGAUUAGCUAGUAGGUGGGGUAAAGGCUCACCUAGGCGACGCACCCUAGCUGGUCUGAGAGGAUGACCAGCCACACUGGAACUGAGACACGUUCCAGACUCCUACGGGAGGCAGCAGUGGGGAAUAUUGCACAAUGGGCGCAAGCCUGAUGCAGCCAUGCCGCGUGUAUGAAGAAGGCCUUCGGGUUGUAAAGUACUUUCAGCGGGGAGGCGUUACCCGCAGAAGAAGCACCGGCUAACUCCGUGCCAGCAGCCGCGGUAAUUC